CUGUCCCACUCGGAUGGCGGAUUCCCUCCACGUCCUCUCCUCAGCACGCACUGCAAAAGGACGGCACCCGGCGCUGCUGCCCCGCGCGUGCAGCGCUGCGUCGCCCCCGCGAGGCGAGGUGUGGCCCAGCCGUUGGCUGCCGGCUGCACGGGCUGCGCCACGUGGCGCCCCGGAGCCCGGCGGCCAUUUUGUGGGUUCUUAAAAAAACCUAUUUUAAGUGGCCGUUAAUAUGUUCUUGGUCAGAGGCCAUGGAUGAGGCAUGAGCAGGGUAUUCUGUUUAACAGUAGAAGUGCUGGCAUCAGGGCCACUGGAAUCAGCUCAUCGAUUCUCUCCCUACAGAGCACCAAGCAGUCCCAGGUGAUCAGGAUAUUAAAAACUGGCACAAGUAACAAUCUUUCUGGACAUCUGACAAUUUAUCAUUACACUCAGAUUCAAGGACAGUAGUAGGAUAGAUCUGAAUUCAAGCUGCUAAUGUGUUUCCUCUACCUGGCAAUUUUAUUCCAGUUUCUGUAAAUAAAACUAACAAAUUCCAUAUUUCUUCAUUUAAUUUAUUACCGUUAUGCUUCUUCAUGCCUCUUACAGCAUUUUUUAAAAAGCUGUAUCUUUUCAUGUCUUUUUUUCAAUUAUUGUAUUAAUAAUUUAUUCUCCCACCAGAUGCAAACUGUUUGCUAAGCUCAUACACUGCCAUUAUUAUUAUUAUCAGUAUUAGUAAUGGAAUCAUUAUCAUUCUCAUCACUGAAAGCUAGCUCAUUAUCUGAUAAGUCAAAAUUUCCUCCCAAAGAUUUUGAGGUAUUUGAUUUUCCUCAUUUGUAUUCUCAGAAGUCAUUUCUUCCUCAAUUGCUGAAGAUGAAAACGCACCUUCCAUAAGUAAGCUGCCAUUCUCUUCAUUAUGCAGCUUUGAUUAUGAAUUUUUCUUUUCUUCUUUGCAACACAGAAAGCCAAGAAUAAUUGUGUUUUCAACUGGUUUGUGGCACCCAAGAGAGUUCCUUUCAAAAACAACUACUAGGGGUUAAGUUGUGAUUAUAUGGACUCAAGACAACUAUUGAUUAAAUCCGUGGGAGCUGAUAAGACUGAUAGUUGAUCCAUAGAGUUUUCUGGUGAGCAGGUUCUUGGGGAAUAAACUUUGGGAAGAAUUUCAGAUAAUAAUAUCAGUGACAAGUUGGCCUUUCACAAGUGCAAAAGAUGAAAUAACAUUUUCCUUCUCUCUCAGCCCAUUUUCUCACCCAUAUUGACAUAUCCAAAACCUAGCCUGAACUCAAAUUAGCUAAAAGACUUGCACCAUCUCACACAAGGCUGUCAAGGUGGACGUCUCCUCUUCUGUGAAGUCUGAAUUCUGUAGACGUAUGUUCCAAAAUUUGUCUCUUCAUAGAGUGGCAACUCUGUGACUUUUCUUGAUCAUCACUAGUCAGCAGCUCUAGUAUGAUGAGGUCAUACUUUGUCCAGCUUUCUUACAGCAGGUUUCCUUUAGUCUCCAUCUUAUUUCUCCUU